rnacentral:rRNA from 1 species
UCAUGGCUCAGAUUGAACGCUGGCGGCAGGCCUAACACAUGCAAGUCGAGCGGAAACGAGAUAUCUGAACCUUCGGGGAACGAUAUCGGCGUCGAGCGGCGGACGGGUGAGUAAUGCCUGGGAAAUUGCCCUGAUGUGGGGGAUAACCAUUGGAAACGAUGGCUAAUACCGCAUAAUAGCUUCGGCUCAAAGAGGGGGACCUUCGGGCCUCUCGCGUCAGGAUAUGCCCAGGUGGGAUUAGCUAGUUGGUGAGGUAAGGGCUCACCAAGGCGACGAUCCCUAGCUGGUCUGAGAGGAUGAUCAGCCACACUGGAACUGAGACACGGUCCAGACUCCUACGGGAGGCAGCAGUGGGGAAUAUUGCACAAUGGGCGCAAGCCUGAUGCAGCCAUGCCGCGUGUGUGAAGAAGGCCUUCGGGUUGUAAAGCACUUUCAGUCGUGAGGAAGGUAGUGUGUUUAAUAGAUGCAUUAUUUGACGUUAGCGACAGAAGAAGCACCGGCUAACUCCGUGCCAGCAGCCGCGGUAAUACGGAGGGUGCGAGCGUUAAUCGGAAUUACUGGGCGUAAAGCGCAUGCAGGUGGUGUGUUAAGUCAGAUGUGAAAGCCCGGGGCUCAACCUCGGAAUUGCAUUUGAAACUGGCAGACUAGAGUACUGUAGAGGGGGGUAGAAUUUCAGGUGUAGCGGUGAAAUGCGUAGAGAUCUG